ACCACAAGACUUGUUAGGAAUAAUUAAUUAUCUGUAAUCAUUUUCUAUGGAAACUUUUAUGUCUGCCAACUUCCUUCUGUAAUCUCUUAAAAGUGAUGCUUGAAUCUUAGUAAAGUUGCAGCAGAUUCAAAUCUCAUUAGAGUUGUGUCUGUCUGUCAUUUGCCGAAUCCUGGGUUCUCCUGAGCCUUCACCCCUGUUCUCCCUUGGUCUUCGAUCUCCAAGAGAGUCAGUCCUUGGCAGGUGGCGCCCGAACAGGGACUUGAAGGACAGGAUGCGGACUCCCCCAUCUGGGUCCCGGACAGACUGGUGCGACCAGCGCCGCUGGAAGCGAAAAAAAAAUCAAAAGGAGACAACAGCAGCAGCUGCUCCAACAAGUGACUUGCGGUUUGCAGAAACUAAAACUACGGGAGAAACCAAAAGACCGGCUCACUUGGACAAAGAUUCGCACCUUAAUGUCUGCCAACUUCCUUCUGUAAUCUCUUAAAAGUGAUGCUUGAAUCUUAGUAAAGUUGCAGCAGAUUCAAAUCUCA